ACAGGCUGGGCAGCUGGCACAGAGGUUCCCACACAUGGCUUGCUGCAGGACCACAUGGAAGCCAGUAUGUGAAGCAGCAUGGCUCCAGAAAAGCAGAAAAUAGGAUUGGGAAGCAGCAUGGCUCCAGGGGCAUGGAGAAGGACCCAGGGCAUGGCCCAUCACCUGCAGUAUUGAAACGUCAUGCUGGACUUGAGACCUGGAGUGGCUCUUGAUGAGCUAGUUAUUGAGGCAGACUCUGACCUGGGUUGGCUCCCAGAGCCUUACGCCUUUUGCAUCUUAAACCACUUUCUGGCUGGGCUCAGGCUGUAGAGGCCCAGGGUCCGCAGUGUCUCCUGUGAGUCCUUUAGCCUGUGCAGUUGUGUGUCUGUUCAGCAAACAGAGCCUGGAUGCCAAACGGAAGAUCCUGUAUUGACUGUUGGAUCUCCAUUGAUAGACCAGAUGAAUGCAGCCAGGAUGCCCUGCUCAGAGACAGUGGAGGUCAUGGUUCUGGCUGCGGAGUCUGCUGCAUCUGAGGCCGCCUGGAGGGCUGCUCUGGCUACUGCUUCGCCCUUUUUAAGGAUCCCACGGAACUCCUUCUUGGGGUCCUCAGGCAGCAAAUCCUCGAACUUGGCCAUGGAUUGCCACAUAUUAAAGUCGUAGUGGCCAAGCAGGGCCUGGUAGUUGACCACUCGCAAUUGAAGUCUUGAGGACAAAUAAGUUUUUCUUCCAAAUAAAAUCGAACCUCUGAGUCUUUGGUUUUUGGGGUUGCACCUUGUUGGCCUUGCUUUCCCAUAUAUUAAUGGCCAACACCACCAGGGAGCUCGGGGUAGGGUAUGUGUAAAGGUAUUCAUGAUCUUUAGUGGGCACAUAGAUGGGGACAGUGACAAGGGCAUCUGUCACAAGGAUUGUGAUCUUUGCCACCUCCUUGUGCAAGGGCAACACCACCC